AGGACGAACGCUGGCGGCGUGCUUAACACAUGCAAGUCGAGCGGAAAGGCCCUUCGGGGUACUCGAGCGGCGAACGGGUGAGUAACACGUGAGUAAUCUGCCCCUAGCUCUGGGAUAGCUCCGGGAAACCGGGAUUAAUACCAGAUACGACCACUUUAGACAUCUUCUGUGGUGGAAAGAACUUCGGCUAGGGAUGAACUCGCGGCCUAUCAGCUUGUUGGUGAGGUAACGGCUCACCAAGGCGACGACGGGUAGCCGGCCUGAGAGGGCGACCGGCCACACUGGGACUGAGACACGGCCCAGACUCCUACGGGAGGCAGCAGUGGGGAAUAUUGCGCAAUGGGCGAAAGCCUGACGCAGCGACGCCGCGUGGGGAUGAAGGCCUUCGGUUGUAACCCCUUUCAGCGAGGGACGAAGCGAAAGUGACGGUACUGCAGAAGAGCGCCGGCUAACUACGUGCCAGCAGCCGC
rnacentral:rRNA from 1 species